GGCAGGAGCAGCCUGCCUUCGGCCUCCAGGCGUGGGCUUGUGAGACUAGUGUUACGCAGAAAGCUACUCCGAACAGACAUUGAGGCACGGCUUGCCCGCUACGGUGGAGAGGACAUGGCUAGAUUGCCUUAGACAGCCAAUUUCCCUUUCUUCGGCCAGUCGGGUUAGAGGCGCGGGAGGCGCAGGGGCUUCUGGGAACGCGCAUGCGCCCGCCGCAGCGAAGCGUACACCUCCAACGUCUACAGGCGCUGGGGGUAUCGGGUGUCGGCGGCGGCGCUUUGCGGCCGGUCGUACAGGUUGGGCGCGGGCGGGCGCGGCGGCCGUGGCGCGCACAGGUGAUUGACUGGCCAGCUGGCUGAGGAGGCGCCGGGUUCUCUUCGCUGGCAGGUGGCGGAGCUCAUUUGGGCGGCUGCGGAGGGGCGGCGGCGGCGGCGGCGGCCCGGCUCGGGGGGUGCUCCUUGGGCCAAGGCCAUGGCCCCGCGGCUGCAGCUGGAGAAGGCGGCCUGGCGCUGGGCGGAGACCGUACGGCCCGAGGAGGUGUCGCAGGAGCACAUCGAGACCGCCUACCGCAUCUGGCUGGAGCCCUGCAUCCGAGGCGUAUGCAGGCGAAACUGCAAAGGAAAUCCGAAUUGUUUGGUUGGGAUUGGUGAGCAUGUUUGGUUAGGAGAAAUAGAUGAAAAUAGUUUUCAUAACAUCGAUGAUCCCAACUGUGAGAGGAGGAAAAAGAACUCAUUUGUGGGCCUGACUAACCUUGGAGCCACUUGUUAUGUCAAUACAUUUCUUCAAGUGUGGUUUCUCAACUUGGAGCUUCGGCAGGCGCUGUACUUAUGUCCAAGUACCUGUAGUGACUACAUGAUGAGAGAUGGUGUCCAAGAAGAGAAAGAUUAUGAGCCUCAGACAAUUUGUGAGCAUCUCCAGUACUUGUUUGCACUGCUGCAGAACAGUAAUAGGCGAUACAUUGAUCCUUCAGGAUUUGUUAAAGCCUUGGGCCUGGACACCGGACAACAGCAGGAUGCCCAAGAAUUUUCAAAGCUCUUUAUGUCUCUGUUGGAAGAUACUUUGUCUAAACAAAAGAACCCAGAUGUGCAGAACAUUGUGCAGCGGCAGUUCUGUGGGGAGUAUGCUUACGUGACUGUUUGCAAUCAGUGUGGCAGAGAGUCCAAACUUUUAUCAAAGUUCUAUGAACUGGAGUUAAAUAUCCAAGGCCACAAACAGUUAACAGAUUGUAUCUCAGAAUUUUUAAAGGAAGAAAAAUUAGAAGGAGACAAUCGAUACUUUUGUGAAAAUUGUCAAAGCAAACAAAACGCUACACGGAAGAUUCGACUUCUUAGCCUUCCUUGCACUCUGAACUUGCAGCUGAUGCGUUUUGUCUUUGACAGGCAAACUGGACAUAAGAAAAAGCUGAAUACCUACAUUGGCUUCUCAGAAAUUUUGGAUAUGGAGCCUUAUGUGGAACACAAAGGUGGGUCCUAUGUGUAUGAACUCAGUGCCGUCCUCAUACACAGAGGAGUGAGCGCUUAUUCUGGCCACUACAUCGCCCAUGUGAAAGAUCCACAGUCUGGUGAAUGGUAUAAAUUUAAUGAUGAAGACAUAGAAAAGAUGGAGGGGAAGAAAUUACAGCUAGGGAUUGAGGAAGAUCUAGCAGAACCUUCCAAGUCCCAGACACGCAAACCCAAGUGUGGCAAAGGAACUCACUGUUCUCGGAAUGCAUACAUGCUGGUUUAUAGACUGCAAGCCCAAGAAAAGCCCAACACGAUGAUUCAAGUUCCAGCCUUCCUUCAGGAGCUGGUAGAUCGGGAUAAUUCCAAGUUUGAGGAGUGGUGUGUUGAAAUGGCUGAGAUGCGUAAGCAAAGUGUGGAUAAAGGAAAAGCAAAACACGAAGAGGUGAAGGAGCUGUACCAAAGGUUACCUGCUGGAGCUGGUCUGUAAGAUAUUCCAGGACGGCACUAUUGCCAUUAAGUGCCUUAUUUUUUUAUGUUCAUAAAAAAAUGUGUAUGAACAAACUUUUUCCUACCCUCAUAACCAACUAAAGCCAGCCCCUAACUCUCAGUCCGUGCUGGUUUAUGCAGUAAUGUGUAGCAUCCCAUAUAGUUUUCAUUAUCAUAUGGUUUUUAAAAUGGAAAACCAUUAAUAGAUUUAGGUCAGUGCUCUGUAUACAUGGUUUAUAGAACUUUUUACUUCAUGAGAUACUAACUUGUUUCUAAAGACAGGUAUGCUUGGAUUACUGUGGACGCAACCUGCCCAUUCUAUCUCUGUAUACUUUAUGCCCUAAUGUCACAGGCAUACUUUUAUUUGAGUACAGUUUUUGAUAUUCUUAGAUUAACUUGAAUGUAACAACUGUUAUGCUAGGAGUAGAAAAGCUUUCCAGUGCACCUCUGAUUUCUUAGAAUUACCUACCUAAUCCACUCAUCCUUUUAUUGUCUGUUUAUUCAAGUUUACCCAGUAUCUUAAAGGAAGCCAACACUUUUAAGGCGGAUACACCUUUGAUUACAAUAAAUUGUGUUUGUCAUUUCUAAGACACAAAUUCCUCAAACCUGACUUCUUUGUACAGAGCGGAGGAAAUUUAGUCCUAACUUAGAAAAUAACCAUGCAAACGUAAUUGUACUUGUGGUUUUGUCCUUUUCAUAUCUUAAUUUUCCAUUACUGAUAAAAGUUUAAACCAAAGAUGGCAGUAAAUUGCUAAAUCUGCAAGAAUAGUUUCUAGAAGUUCUUACUAAAAGCUGGGGAUGUAGUUAGUUUGUAGAGCACUUGGGUUCAAUCCCUAGUACCACCACUACCACCAAAAAAAAGCUGCUUUGUAAUAUUAUUUUUACUGUGUUUGACAGUUGGGAAUAGCCUAAGAAAAUGUCACUGGCCUCCAUUUAACUGGAAAUAAACCCUUGGUUCAAAGAAAAAAAAAGAAAAAAAACCCAUAAUUCACAUCCCUAAAUUUUUGGGGGGUGGGAGGCGGUAUUGGGGUUUGAACUCAGGGCCUCAUGCUUGCUGGGUAGGCGCUGUACCACUCGGUCAGUCCACCAGCACAACAUAGCUAAAUUUAUCUGUCUCUGUUCAACGGAAGUGGAACAUAGAAAAUCUGUUUUCUGAACUUUAUUCACAGCUUCUUCAUAUUCUACCCAGGAGAAAGGGACUUCCUGGAGCUAAAGUGAGAUGGUAUUGGGACAGCCGGCAGUCUGGCUAAGUGGUAGAGCACUAGAGGCUGUGGCUUGAUCCCAGCACUUUUAAAAAAACAAAAAGGUGCUGUUGGGAACCACUCUUAAAACUGUGCUGCUCAAAGAUAUUAUAUGACAAGUUAGCACUGUACUUCCCAUGAGUGUUUUAUUUAGUCUCUCAGAUCCUGUGCUUAUGUUUUUAGAUUUUUUUUCUCUGUUUUUUAUUCUUUUAUGAAGCAGGCUUUAUAUUUCUUCCCCAUUUACAGUAAACUUCCAUAAUGGAAAAUCUGUGUUGUCCUAAAAUGAUGGAAAAUCUGAAAGUCAGUGGCCAUAGUUUUGUGCUGCCAACCAAAGUCUUUUGUUAUGCAUUUUUUUAAAAAAGUUUUUAUUAGUAUAUGAUAGUUGUACAGGGGAUUUCAUUGUGUUCGUUGUGACGUUGCCAUAUAUACAUAUGUUGUAUUCUGGUUUGGUUCAUCCCGUUGUUAGGUAUUUUUUUAAAUCUUAGCUUUGUGAACAGACUUAUAAAAGAGUCAUUAAUCCUAAAAUCAAGCCUCAUUGGAAACAAUCCCUUUGGUCCUGAUUAUUUAAAUAGAAAUGUCCUUAAAUUAUCUUUAUGUAAAGUGUUUCAAAUGUUUUGGUACUGUGAUUGGUCCAGAUGCUAUAAAUUUCCAAAAGAAAAUUUAUUGUGUUCAAAACCCAGAAAUUUUUUUGAACUUUGGUCCAAAGUUAUUGCUAAUAUUUCUCCUUGGUAAAUAUUCUAACGGUUGCUUUUCUGGUUUAUCAAACACUGAAAUUUAUGGUUCAGUAUCUCCACUUGACAAGGAGAUAAGAGUUCUCUCUCCUGCUUGGCAGCUGACUGCCAUGCCUUUGGAAGGCAGGGCUGGGUUGAUUAUUGAGAUACAUACUGAGACACAUCUUCAAUAUUCUUGCCAGGAGUCUUUCUGUAUGGCAGAAUCGUCUAUGUAUAAAACCUUCCACAAGCAGAGUCUGUCUUAAUCAUGAGCCUAUGUUCAACCCUAGUUCUCAUGGGAGCUCUUGGAGAGAUCCACAUAGCUCUUUAUAGAAGUAGAGAUUGCAAACAGAAAGACAGACCUAUAGGCACAGCCACUCCUCCUUCCGUGUGGGUCCUCCAGCAUACCAACAUGAAAUCAGGAAAAUUUGCAGAGUUAAUGUUAAGCAUGGUGUUAGAUCAAAAUUAUGGAUCCAGUCUCUGCUCUUUCUUCCUCCUCUUACUAUAAAGUCACGUGAUUUUCCUAAUCAUUUUAUCUUACGUUCAAUUCAUGUUAAACUACUCAAAACCAAAACAAGCUUUGUUUGGAAGUUUUCUAUUGGACUUUUGUCAUAAGGGAUUGGAAAAUACUGACCUACCCACCUCUAAGUCACAUUGUUGUUCAGUGGGUCAGAGUACAAUCCCUGGGCCUUAAGUUCCAAAGAUACCCCCUGGUAAGGAGUGUUUUGUGUACUCUUCAUUGUCCUAGAUUCCUUUCCUUGCAAUAGUUAGAUUCUCAGGUUUAUUCCUUCAGUUAGCAACUGCAGGUAUUUCCCUCUUUGCACCUAUCGCUGGUCUGUUGGGGAAACCAGAAUAUCUGAGGAAUUAUUCUUGAAUGUUGCCCUACAUCAUAAUCCUGUUUUCCUUGAAGAAGAAUCUUUAAGAUGACUCUAAAGUUUAAUCCAUGUGACUGUCCUUGGAAAUAAUAGCUAUGCCAAGACUUUUUACUUAGCUCUCAGACAAGGAUCGUUUAUCUUUGCAUUCUCCAGAUGACCAGUGUUCUUUGUGCCUGCAGGUUAAACCUGGAAAAUGGCAAAUAAAAUGGCAGGUGUUUUGAAUGUAUUUAGCUACACCAUGAUAUACUGUAGGACAUUCCAACUAUUUACUGUUCUGCAUCUUAAGGUCUCCUCUUUUAUAUAUUGUGUGAAUGUGUAAUUAACUUUUCUGUAUCUCUUUUCUUCCAAAAAGCUCAAAAUGCUUCACAUAUCUUAUCUUUUACACCCAACAACAUCUCUGUGAGAGCCCUAUGAGUUUGUCUCUCUUGAAUGGCUGC